CAGACCUUUUCUGUCUUUAUUGAAAAGUCUAAGGAUAUUUUUUUAUUUUUAAUACAACAUGAAAACCUUUUGGUGGAUUUGUUUUUUUAUGUUGAUUUUAUCACUUAUCUAUGGAAGAACCAAUGCUAAUGAUGACGACGACGAUGAUGAUGAUGGGUAUGAUGAAGCUACUGUUAAAGAUGUUUCCAAUGCUAGAACAGUGCAAACAACAACUACUGAUGAUGAUGCAUAUGGAGAUAACAGUAAUGUGAAUAUGCAACAAUCUGAAA